rnacentral:rRNA from 1 species
AACGAACGUUGGCGGCGUGGAUUAGGCAUGCAAGUCGCGCGAAUCCCCGCAAGGGGGGAAGCGGCGUAAGGGGCAGUAAGGCGUGGGUACCUACCCGGGGCUCGGGGAUAGCCCGUCGAGAGACGGGGUAAUAUCCGACGACGUCGCAAGACCAAAGCUCCGGCGGCCCCGGUGGGGCCCACGUGGUAUUAGCUAGUUGGUGGGGUGACGGCCCACCAAGGCGGAGAUGCCUAGCGGGUGUGAGAGCACGACCCGCGCCACUGGCACUGAGACACUGGCCAGACACCUACGGGUGGCUGCAGUCGAGGAUCUUCGGCAAUGGGGGCAACCCUGACCGAGCGACGCCGCGUGGGCGACGAAGGCCUUCGGGUUGUAAAGCCCUGUCGAGGGGGAGGAAAGCCCGAAAGGGUGUGACCCAUCCCUGGAGGAAGCACGGGCUAAGUUCGUGCCAGCCGCCGCAGUAAAAC